rnacentral:rRNA from 1 species
GAUGAACGCUGGCGGCGUGCCUAAUACAUGCCAGUCGAGCGAACAGACGAGGAGCUUGCUCCUCUUAUGUUAGCGGCGGACGGGUGAGUAACACGUGGAUAACCUACCUAUAAGACUGGGAUAACUUCUGGAAACCGGAGCUAAUACCGGAUAACAUGUUUAACCGCAUGGUUUAACAGUGAAAGACGGUCUUGCUUUCACUUAUAGAUGGAUCCCCGCCUCAUUAGCUAGUUGGUAAGUUAACGGUUUACCAAGGCAACGAUGCGUAGCCGACCUGAGAGGGGGAUCGGCCACACUGGAACUGGGACACGGUCCAGACUCCUACGGGAGGCAGCAGUAGGGAAUAUUCCGAAAUGGGCGAAAGCCUGACCGAGAAACGCCGCGUGAGGGAAGAAGGUCUUCGGAUCGUAAAACUCUGUUAUUAGGGAAGAACAAAUGUGUAAGUAACUAUGCACGUAUUGACGGUACCUAAUCAGAAAGCCACGGCUAACUACGUG